rnacentral:rRNA from 1 species
UACGAAGGGGGCUAGCGUUGUUCGGAUUUACUGGGCGUAAAGCGCACGUAGGCGGAUCGUUAAGUCGGGGGUGAAAUCCUGGAGCUCAACUCCAGAACUGCCUUCGAUACUGGCGAUCUAGAGUCCGGAAGAGGUGAGUGGAACUCCUAGUGUAGAGGUGGAAUUCGUAGAUAUUAGGAAGAACACCAGUGGCGAAGGCGGCUCACUGGUCCGGUACUGACGCUGGGGUGCGAAAGCGUGGGUAGCGAACAGG